AAGAGAAUUACCUAAGCCCAGGAUUUGGAGGUUGCUGUGAGGUGUGAUGCCACAGCUCUACCAAGGGCGGUACAGUGCGACUUUGCCUCUACAAAAAAGACCUUAAUUUUUAAGCAGAGAGGUUAUGGGGGUCCCAGUAGGAGGAUGGGAAUAUGAUAGAUCAUAUUUCUUUUGUCCUAGGGGGUAACUAUGGAGAUGAUCGUCGUGGUGGCAGAGGAGGCUAUGAUCGAGGCGGCUACCGGGGCCGUGGUGGGGACCGUGGGGGCUUCCGAGGGGGCCGGGGUGGUGGGGACAGAGGCGGCUUUGGCCCUGGCAAGAUGGACUCCAGGGGUGAGCACAGACAGGAUCGUAGAGAGAGGCCAUAUUAGCCUGGCUCCUGAGAUUCUGGAACAGCUUUUCUUCCUGUACCCAGUGUUACCCUUGUUAUUUUGUAACCUUCAAUUCCUGAUCACCCAUGGGUUUUUGUGUCGGACUAUGUAAUUGUAACCAUACCUCUGGUUCCCAUUAAAAACCAUCGUUUUAGUUA